CUCCUUUGACGUUAGCGGCGGACGGGUGAGUAACACGUGGGUAACCUACCUAUAAGACUGGGAUAACUUCGGGAAACCGGAGCUAAUACCGGAUAAUAUUUCGAACCGCAUGGUUCGAUAGUGAAAGGUGGUUUUGCUAUCACUUAUAGAUGGACCCGCGCCGUAUUAGCUAGUUGGUAAGGUAACGGCUUACCAAGGCGACGAUACGUAGCCGACCUGAGAGGGUGAUCGGCCACACUGGAACUGAGACACGGUCCAGACUCCUACGGGAGGCAGCAGGA
rnacentral:rRNA from 1 species